rnacentral:pre_miRNA from 1 species
GGUGGACUUGCUGGGUCAUAUGGUAGCUCCCUGUUUAACUUUUUGAGGAACUGCCAAACUGUUUUCCAAAGUGGCUGCACUAUUUUAUAUUCCCACCAGCAAC